GCUCCGGUGGCCUAGUGGUUAGGUCGUCCGCCUCGUAUGCGGUAGGUCGUGGGUUCUAUCCCCGGCUGAGUCA